rnacentral:rRNA from 1 species
CCUACGGGGGGCAGCAGUGAGGAAUAUUGGUCAAUGGACGAGAGUCUGAACCAGCCAAGUCGCGUGAAGGAUGACUGCCCUAUGGGUUGUAAACUUCUUUUAUAUGGGAAUAAAAUGUUCCACGUGUGGGAUUUUGUAUGUACCAUAUGAAUAAGGAUCGGCUAACUCCGUGCCAGCAGCCGCGGUAAUACGGAGGAUCCGAGCGUUAUCCGGAUUUAUUGGGUUUAAAGGGUGCGUAGGUGGAUUGUUAAGUCAGUUGUGAAAGUUUGCGGCUCAACCGUAAAAUUGCAGUUGAAACUGGCAGUCUUGAGUACAGUAGAGGUGGGCGGAAUUCGUGGUGUAGCGGUGAAAUGCUUAGAUAUCACGAAGAACUCCGAUUGCGAAGGCAGUUCACUGGACUGCAACUGACACUGAGGCUCGAAAGUGUGGGUAUCAAACAGGAUUAGAUACCCCAGUAGUC